rnacentral:rRNA from 1 species
CCUACGGGUGGCAGCAGUGAGGAAUAUUGGUCAAUGGACGAGAGUCUGAACCAGCCAAGUAGCGUGAAGGAUGACUGCCCUAUGGGUUGUAAACUUCUUUUAUAUGGGAAUAAAAUGUUCCACGUGUGGGAUUUUGUAUGUACCAUAUGAAUAAGGAUCGGCUAACUCCGUGCCAGCAGCCGCGGUAAUACGGAGGAUCCGAGCGUUAUCCGGAUUUAUUGGGUUUAAAGGGAGCGUAGGUGGAUUGUUAAGUCAGUUGUGAAAGUUUGGGGCUCAACCGUAAAAUUGCAGUUGAAACUGGCAGUCUUGAGUACAGUAGAGGUGGGCGGAAUUCGUGGUGUAGCGGUGAAAUGCUUAGAUAUCACGAAGAACUCCGAUUGCGAAGGCAGUUCACUGGACUGCAACUGACACUGAGGCUCGAAAGUGUGGGUAUCAAACAGGAUUAGAUACUCUUGUAGUC